GUCUCGCAUGAAUAUCUCCAUCCGCAUCACCGAGGGGCAUCCUAGAUGUUUACAAGCCUUUGAGUGUAGGUCGCCGCCGGCGAGUCGUCCAACCAUGGUCAUCUCUGACCCUCCUUGCAGCUGCCGGUACCUCCCGCCGUUCAAGGCCUGCUUGAUCCGGCGUCCAUGGGACGUUGUUGCCCGGGUGGUGCCCUCCAGCCGGGGGACUCAGAGUGGCGGUCGGCGGCACGGGUCGUCCAGCUCAGGUGGUCGCGUUGGCCGGCGGUGCUGUUUGCUGGCAUGUAGGCUGCCGCAUGGGUGGAGGCGUCAUGACAUGGGAUCGAGGCGUCAUCUGGCCGGCGGUGGUGUUUUUUUGGAGAGGCCGGCUGUAAAUGGGUGGAGGCGUCCCAGCGUGGGUCGGGGCGUCAUUUGGUCGCGCUCGAUUCGCUCGCCCACGAUUCGGCGACCACUGGCGGCCUCCUUUGCCUCCGUCCGGCGCCAUGGCAUGUUGGUGUGUUUGGGAGGCGCAAUGGCGAGCGGUGGUAUUGGCGGCGCGAGGAGCCUUCCGUGGUGACGCGAGCAUGAUGUGGGCCUGGUUGGGCUGCGUCCCGGGCGGCGUUAAAGAAUUUGUACUUCUUCGGCCUUCAGGAGAUCCACAUCUUCUUCCUUGAUGCCAUUACCGCAAGGAUUUCAAGGGCGCCAACAAGACCACCAGACAGAUCUGCUUCGUCCUCGCUAACUUCGUUCCUUACGGUGAUGACCAUCAUGGUCCACUCCCAUCUCAGCGCUGUACUGCCGAGGCUGAAGCUGGCCCCUCUCACCACUCUGGUGGUGUGGCCUCAAGACACUCCGGACGCAGCUGAAGACUCUUCGCUAGCAGUUGGGACAAUUCAAUCGUGGCCUAGGUGGGUGCGGCACAGCUACUCUCAUUCAUCGACUCAGGUGAGUUGCUUAAACUCCCAUUACUUCCAGGUUGCCUUGGCCACUCCGAUGCCUGGGCCAUGCUAAGUAUCUGCCCCUUCAACUAGACUGAUUCUUGGUUUUUUCUUGUUUUUAGAACUGUCCUGUAUUCGUUCGCAGUGUCCAGAGCAUUGAUCUGCUGGCCUGACCUCGCGGCCGCGUCGCACUCCAAAUGGGGAAUUCGAGGGAUUUUUCCAAAAUCAUCUCAUUAUAUUUUCAGUAUCUUUUGUUUGCUCGGAAGAAAGACCCUUUUUGCAGGCUAACUGUUACAAAAUGAUGCUAAUUGCAUUUGAUUUAUGUUGUUCAGUUCAAAUGUUUGAUAGAUUGUUCCAAGUAUUAAAAAAUUCUUUAUGUUUCAAAUUCUAUAUAUAAGAGAUUUUUUAUAUUAGGCGGGCAGGAUGUUCUCUGUUAAGAAACUAGCAUGUAGGAGAUGGUAAGAAUAUUUUCUCACUACAUAAUCUGUCCAAUAUUACAGUGAAGCAAUGCUUAUAUAAAGGUAAAAUUGUAGAUUGUUUAUGGUUUUUUAGAUUAUUUAUUAUUUUCCCAAAUACAACAUGUAUUGUCUCUACUUGAUUUGGAGAUCAUUGCUCUUCUACGUGGAAUAAGAAUUGCCAGUAUCAUCAAUAGUUAUGCAUAGGAGGAAUUUGAGGACGAACUGAUGUUCUUGGUUUUUUUUGCUUUCAUUCAAAUAAAACUCCACGGUUACCUGCGGGGUUUCAGCGAACUUUGUUUUAUCAAGGGCAAGUUUGACCAAUCCAACGAUUUUUCAGGUCAGAGUAGAAUGGACUGAUUUCAUGUUGGGGUAGUUCUUUUGCAUGACAAUAAAAGUUGUUGUUAGUUUAACCUGCCCAAAGCGUAAUUAAUAGCUGUGAUAUACGUUAGAGGCCAUGGUAUCUCUCACUAGGCACUAUCUACCACCAUGCGAAAAGAGUUGGUCCCCUAGAGCAAUGAUUUACCAUCAUUUUGAUUUCUCAAGCACCAAAACUGAAGCCUAAUUAGUAUACGUGCUAUACAUUAAAACCAUUGUAAAAACUUCAUCUCAAAUCCAUUUCAGCCUUGAAUAUGAUGUAGUUCAUAUUAAUUUCAGGUUUAGUUACUUGUGAUUUGCCUAUUUAUUACAGCUUGCUUUCUGUGCACUGGAAAAUAAAAUUAACAUGCAGACACAUAUUAAGGUUUUGAAUUUGAAGAGUCACGGUGGAAUUUAGUUGCACAUUAGCUUAUCAGCACACAAUAAUCUUCUACUUUAAUGAAGUUCAUAAAUAUACCUGGCACAUAUAUGUCUCUUAACAUCUCCUGCAAACUUCUGUUGUAAUCCAUGGAGAAGACCACUCUUGCAAUCUCAAAUUAAAGCACUUUUAUCAACUUCUGCGUGUCAUCUGUGUUAACGCACCUAUCUGAAUAUUUGCAGUGGCAUAUUGUAAGCUGGCAGUUUGGUGCUGAUUGUAUAUGAAAUCACAACACAACCAUGUAGCAGUAUCUUAUGGCAUUACUGUAGUAUGUGAUGGUGUAUGCUGCUUUGUCUUAUUCAUAAGGAUGUUACAAUUUGGAGCAAUGUGAAGGUGUGUGGUUAGUUGUAUACUUUCCUGGGUUUUCUCUUUUUCUUUCCUGAGUUUCUCAAUAUUUGUGGAUCAGAUUCAAAUUGUCAUAUUCCUGUGUGAAGCUAAGUACUACCUGCAUUGUUACUUUAGGAAGCAUUGGCUGAGUGGUUCUACAGACAGAUCAUGGCUUGAAACUUUUUUGUAUGGAAAUUCUAUAUCCGCAAUUGAGUCACCAAAAUAAGUUGCAAUGCAUGUCCUCGAUAUCUUUCUUGCUUUGCUAAAGUCAUGCUACGAAUGGUUGCUCUCAGAUUUUUCAUGUCUAUCACUGUACCGGCCAAAUGUGGAUGACGAGGUGAUCCUGCAAGCAUUGAUAGUAGGGAUUUUUUUCUUUUGGUUUUGCCCUUAUAUUGUUUGUAACGUGUAUUUGUAAGUGGCCCUUCACACUGAAACAGUAUUCUGUUCGCCUAUGUUACGCAAUGGAGAUUAAUAAAAUCGAAGGACAGACGGUUGACAAGGUCGGUGUCUGUUUACCAAGGCCUACUUUUUCUCAUGGGCAAUUCUAUGUCGUUGUGUGAACGGUGACAUCAGUGAAAGGGUUAAUGAUACUUGCACUUGAUGAAAAUGGGGAACCGACUACAGAAACAAGGAACAUAGUGUACCGGGAGGUGCUUGAUAAUCUCUAGGAAGGCCCUUCAUGGUUUAUCUGAUGCAUGGAAGAAUGGAGUUUGUUUUCUAAUCCUCAGUACAAUGUUCGUUGGUGCUACAUAUAGUGCAUGUGUUCCAGCAGGUUUGAGCCAGUUGAUCCCUAGAAGCCGAUGCUACUUACGGUUCGUAGUGGCAUGUUUACAGUUUACAGUCAUGUGUUCCGCCCAUUGAAUU